rnacentral:rRNA from 1 species
AGGGGGAUAACGAUCCGGAAACGGGUGCUAAUACCGCAUAGUUUCUUGAUCGCAUGAUUGAGAAGGAAAGACGGCCUUUGUGCUGUCGCUUAUGGAUGGACCCGCGGCGUAUUAGUUAGUUGGUGAGGUAACGGCUCACCAAGACGAUGAUACGUAGCCGACCUGAGAGGGUGAUCGGCCACAUUGGGACUGAGACACGGCCCAAACUCCUACGGGAGGCAGCAGUAGGGAAUCUUCCGCAAUGGACGAAAGUCUGACGGAGCAACGCCGCGUGAGUGAAAGAAGGUUUUCGGAUCGUAAAACUCUGUUGUCAGAGAAGAACAAGUUGGAGAGUAACUGCUCCAGCCUUGACGGUAUCUGACCAGAAAGCCACGGCUAACUACGUGCCAGCCGCCGC